rnacentral:rRNA from 1 species
UUAAGUCAGGCAACGAGCGAGACCCGCACUCCUAAUUGCCAGCAACACCCUUGUGGUGGUUGGGUACAUUAGGAGGACUGCCAGUGCCAAACUGGAGGAAGGAACGGGCAACGGUAGGUCAGUAUGCCCCGAAUGAGCUGGGCUACACGCGGGCUACAAUGGCCGAGACAAUGGGAUGCAACCCCGAGAGGGGGCGCUAAUCUCCGAAACUCGGUCGUAGUUCGGAUUGCGGGCUGAAACUCGCCCGCAUGAAGCUGGAUUCGGUAGUAAUCGCAUCUCAAGAGGGUGCGGUGAAUACGUCCCUGCUCCUUGCACA